rnacentral:rRNA from 1 species
UCCUUCCGUAGGUGAACCUGCGGAGGGAUCAUUACAAGUGACCCCGGCUACGGCCGGGAUGUUCAUAACCCUUUGUUGUCCGACUCUGUUGCCUCCGGGGCGACCCUGCCUUCGGGCGGGGGCUCCGGGUGGACACUUCAAACUCUUGCGUAACUUUGCAGUCUGAGUAAACUUAAUUAAUAAAUUAAAACUUUUAACAACGGAUCUCUUGGUUCUGGCAUCGAUGAAGAACGCAGCGAAAUGCGAUAAGUAAUGUGAAUUGCAGAAUUCAGUGAAUCAUCGAAUCUUUGAACGCACAUUGCGCCCCCUGGUAUUCCGGGGGGCAUGCCUGUUCGAGCGUCAUUUCACCACUCAAGCCUCGCUUGGUAUUGGGCAACGCGGUCCGCCGCGUGCCUCAAAUCGUCCGGCUGGGUCUUCUGUCCCCUAAGCGUUGUGGAAACUAUUCGCUAAAGGGUGUUCGGGAGGCUACGCCGUAAAACAACCCCAUUUCUAAGGUGACCUCGGAUCAGG